rnacentral:other from 1 species
ACGUCCGUUGCGUUCGCGUGAGUUUUUAAUUCCUUGAACCGAUGCUCUCGCGAGCCCGGGCUGGGAAAAUUGCCGAGUGGGUGUGAUCGUCUCGCGUCAGAUGAACCCGAAGCACGGUUGACCCGGCCCACCUGAAUCCCCUGGGUUCAGGAAUGCGGCUCACGGUUCGCAGCGGACACC